ensembl:lncRNA
UGGGGCAAGCUUGACCUCUCUUUCUUUUGUUUUGUGCCUCUCUGUCCAUCCCAUCAGCUCUCCCCUGCAAAUCAGCUCAUCUCGGCAGAACCAAAUCCCCUGAACCAACAGCAUCUGCAGUUUGCAGAAUCCAUAGAUCCAUGAGAGGGGACCGAGGACAUGGUCCUGGGCCACAGUCCCUGCUCCAGGCUUUCCACCUGACCACUUUCCUUCCUCAUGCCCCUGGGACCAUCCUCUUCUCUCUGCCUACCCCAUUGACCUGGCCUCCCCUUCCUGCCCUUCACUAGCUUCCCGGUUUUCUCUGAAUAUCCUGGAAGAACUGAGGCAGUUGAGUCCGGCUUCCUUGUCACACCACAUGAAAAGCCACCGGUGCCACUUCUAUGAAGAGAGACCUCAGCUGGCAAUCUGGAAACCUAUCCCAAGUUUGAGCCUCCCCUUUUAUGGUCCUCAUAGGAGCACUAGGAUGACCCUAUGGACCCCAAAUAUCCUUUGGGUUUUGGGGCUCUGGAGCCUCCCCUGGAUCCACUGGGCCCGGACAACCCUUGUUCUUCUCUUGGCUCAACCACUGAUCUCUGUGCCUUAGUUUACUUCUCCACCCAGGGGGCAUCUAUCCAGACCUCUUGGUGCCUCUGCAACUGGACAUUGCCAACGUGGCUUCCUUGGGAGGUACCAGGUUGCCAAGGCGGCUGGGGCACCACUGACAACUCCAUUCCCACAGUGGAAACAUCACCAGGAACAUUGACAGAAGUGAAGAUUGUUGGCCCCACUGAAGCAGACCCAGCAGGCUGGGGUACGAAAGAGCCUCCAGUCGUUCUGAUGUGGACAAGUUUGCCAACAGCAAGGUUGUGGCCCCAGGUGAGCUUUCAGUGCAGCUUGGGCAGGAACUGGGGCUGGCCUGAGCCAAGGACAAGGGGAAACAACCAGUCAAUGGGAGUCCUAGAUUCAGGGCCUCUGGCCCCAAACAAAACAACACUUUCCUCUUUCUGGAAGCUGGAGUGAGGGCAGCAGUCUUGAAGUUUUCCUAUUAUCUCUUUGGCUCCAUUUCAGCCCAGCUCACCAUCCCCACUUUCAGGAUUUUCAGGAAAGCUGCAUAGCUGAUCACAGCAGGCAAGGGGGAGGGAGAGUCCCUGGAAGCAGGAGGCAAGAAGGACCCUUUUCAUUUAUCCAUUUGAAUCCUCACCAUUGCCAGAGGGCCUCUAUCCAAAGGGAAAGAAAGAAACCCAAGGCUGCAAGAAGAAAAUCCUGUGUACACUCCCAUGCUGCACCUCCUCAUCCUCCUGAUUCCAGGGACUCCAUGUAGACAGUGCCAAAAAUCAGUCCCAACCCCCAGUGCCUAGGGAAGAGCUAGAGCCUUUCCUCUCCAUCUUGCUCCCCUCCUCAACCUGGCCAAUACUGUGAAGCCCCUUCCUGCUCAGCCUGGUUUCCUGGUGAGGGUCCUGCAGUCGUGGGCCCUGCCGGACCCCUCAGGAGGGAAGGGACCAAGGGCAUCCUUGGGCCAACUAUCCACCUCUCCCUUCCUCUGUUCUGUCCUCCUCCUCUCCCUUCCACUGCCCCCCUCCGCCUUUCUAUCUUUAAAGGCUCCUUCCCAGGACAUAUUGGGUGGUAGGACGGCAUCUAGUCCACCAGCUGUCUUUGCCCUGUGUCUUAUUUCAGAUAUGAGAACUGUACAGUGUAAACUUACAAAGUGUUUUUAAUGGUUGUAGAUUGGAAAUAAAGUAUGUCAUAUAAACAGUU